rnacentral:rRNA from 1 species
AGUGAACGCUGGCGGUAGGCCUAACACAUGCAAGUCGAACGGCAGCACAGUAAGAGCUUGCUCUUACGGGUGGCGAGUGGCGGACGGGUGAGGAAUACAUCGGAAUCUACUUUUUCGUGGGGGAUAACGUAGGGAAACUUACGCUAAUACCGCAUACGACCUACGGGUGAAAGCAGGGGAUCUUCGGACCUUGCGCGAUUGAAUGAGCCGAUGUCGGAUUAGCUAGUUGGCGGGGUAAAGGCCCACCAAGGCGACGAUCCGUAGCUGGUCUGAGAGGAUGAUCAGCCACACUUGAACUGAGACACGGUCCAGACCCCUACGGGAGGCAGCAGUGGGGAAUAUUGGACAAUGGGCGCAAGCCUGAUCCAGCCAUACCGCGUGGGUGAAGAAGGCCUUCGGGUUGUAAAGCCCUUUUGUUGGGAAAGAAAAGCAGCAGGUUAAUACCCCGCUGUUCUGACGGUACCCAAAGAAUAAGCACCGGCUAACUUCGU